UCAGAACGAACGCUGGCGGCAGGCUUAACACAUGCAAGUCGAACGCAUCCUUCGGGGUGAGUGGCAGACGGGUGAGUAACACGUGGGAACGUACCCCUUUGUUCGGAAUAACCCUGGGAAACUAGGGCUAAUACCGGAUACGGCCGAGAGGCGAAAGGUUUACUGCAGAGGGAUCGGCCCGCGUCCGAUUAGCUAGUUGGAGAGGUAAUGGCUCACCAAGGCAUCGAUCGGUAGCUGGUCUGAGAGGAUGACCAGCCACAUUGGGACUGAGACACGGCCCAAACUCCUACGGGAGGCAGCAGUGGGGAAUAUUGGACAAUGGGCGCAAGCCUGAUCCAGCCAUGCCGCGUGAGUGAUGACGGCCUUAGGGUUGUAAAGCUCUUUUGCCUGGGAAGAUAAUGACGGUACCAGGAGAAUAAGCCCCGGCUAACUUCGUGCCAGCAGCCGCGGUAAUACGAAGGGGGCUAGCGUUGUUCGGAUUUACUGGGCGUAAAGGGCGCGUAGGCGGACCUGUAAGUCAGGGGUGAAAUCCCAAGGCUCAACCUUGGAACUGCCUUUGAUACUGUGGGUCUUGAGUCCGGGAGAGGUGAGUGGAACUGCGAGUGUAGAGGUGAAAUUCGUAGAUAUUCGCAAGAACACCAGUGGCGAAGGCGGCUCACUGGCCCGGAACUGACGCUGAGGCGCGAAAGCGUGGGGAGCAAACAGGAUUAGAUACCCUGGUAGUCCACGCCUUAAACGAUGGAUGCUAGCCGUUGGUCAGCUUGCUGAUCCGUGGCGCCGUUAACACAUAAGCAUCCC
rnacentral:rRNA from 1 species